UACGUAGGGUGCGAGCGUUGUCCGGAAUUACUGGGCGUAAAGAGCUCGUAGGUGGUUUGUCGCGUUGUCCGUGAAAACUCACAACUCAAUUGUGGGCGUGCGGGCGAUACGGGCAGACUGGAGUACUGCAGGGGAGACUGGAAUUCCUGGUGUAGCGGUGGAAUGCGCAGAUAUCAGGAUGAACACCGGUGGCGAAGGCGGGUCUCUGGGCAGUAACUGACGCUGAGGAGCGAAAGCGUGGGGAGCGAACAGG
rnacentral:rRNA from 1 species